rnacentral:rRNA from 1 species
GACAGAGGGGGCAAGCGUUGCUCGGAAUCACUGGGCGUAAAGGGCGCGUAGGCGGGAUGGCAAGUCGGUCGUGAAAUCCCUGGGCUCAACUUCAGGGGGGUCGGCCGAUACUGCCAUUCUUGAGGGAUGCAGAGGAGACUGGAAUUCCGGGUGUAGCGGUGAAAUGCGUAGAUAUCCGGAGGAACACCGGUGGCGAAGGCGGCUUCCUGGACCGACACUGACGCUGAGGCGCGAAAGCUAGGGGAGCAAACGGG